CAACAGAGGAACAAAAUUCAGACCUGAGUCCUGGUGGAAGUUCCAUGAUAUUAGAAUCCAUGGUCUUCAGCCAUUCCUUGAACUUCAGAAAAUUCACUCAGGUCUGGAAGAAGGAUAUGUUCCUUGAAGGGUGCCAGAUGGUGAAGACUGUUGAUUUGAAGAAGACUGUGCAGAAAGGAGGCUUCUCUAGCCUGUAGAAGGGGGCAUUUGGAUAUCAAGGUCCCAGCCCUGAUGCUAUCUAUACCUGAGAAGAACAUUCUGGUGGAACCCUGCCUCAAGGGAAGCCUUCCACAGAAAUGGAGCUCGCUGGGGCAGCUCAGGUUGAACACAUAGCACUGCCAGGCAAGGGACUCCUCAGCCACCCUUAUCAAGUGCCCUCUUGAUGCUCACUUUGGAUGUUCACGUGCUAGGCAUGACACUGUGCCACUGUGACCACCAGCAACAAAGCAGCUGAACUGACCUCAGAAGAAAGGCCAUGGGAUUUCUGCUUUCAUAUGUGGAUAUCUUCCCAUGAUUUAUGACACGGAUGGGGUCCAACCAGUUACAAGUUUUGUGGAAACCUGUAGUUGCUAAAUACAUUGAAAUCCCAAG
rnacentral:lncRNA from 1 species